UACGUAGGUCCCGAGCGUUGUCCGGAUUUAUUGGGCGUAAAGCGAGCGCAGGUGGUUUGUUAAGUCUGGUGUAAAAGGCAGUGGCUCGACCAUUGUAUGCAUUGGAAACUGGUAGACUUGAGUGCAGGAGAGGAGAGUGGAAUUCCAUGUGUAGCGGUGAAAUGCGUAGAUAUAUGGAGGAACACCGGUGGCGAAAGCGGCUCUCUGGCCUGUAACUGACACUGAGGCUCGAAAGCGUGGGGAGCAAACAGG
rnacentral:rRNA from 1 species